rnacentral:rRNA from 1 species
UACGUAGGGUGCGAGCGUUGUCCGGAAUUAUUGGGCGUAAAGGGCUCGUAGGCGGUUUGUCGCGUCGGGAGUGAAAACCCAGGGCUUAACCCUGGGCUGGCUUCCGAUACGGGCAGACUAGAGGUAUGCAGGGGAGAACGGAAUUCCUGGUGUAGCGGUGAAAUGCGCAGAUAUCAGGAGGAACACCUAUUGCGAAGGCAGCUCGCUGGGACGUAACUGACGCUGAGACGCGAAAGCGUGGGGAGCAAACAGG